rnacentral:tRNA from 1 species
GUCUCUGUAGCGCGAUGGAUAGCGCGUUGGACUUCUAAUCCAAAGGUCGUGGGUAUGAAACUUACCUGGGAUG